UGGGGAAUAUUGCACAAUGGGCGCAAGCCUGAUGCAGCAACGCCGCGUGAACGAUGGAGGUCUUCGGAUCGUAAAGUUCUGUUGCAGGGGAAGAUAAUGACGGUACCCUGUGAGGAAGCCCCGGCUAACUACGUGCCAGCAGCCGCGGUAAUACGUAGGGGGCUAGCGUUAUCCGGAUUUACUGGGCGUAAAGGGUGCGUAGGUGGUCCUUCAAGUCGGUGGUUAAAGGCUACGGCUCAACCGUAGUAAGCCGCCGAAACUGGAGGACUUGAGUGCAGGAGAGGAAAGUGGAAUUCCCAGUGUAGCGGUGAAAUGCGUAGAUAUUGGGAGGAACACCAGUAGCGAAGGCGGCUUUCUGGACUGCAACUGACACUGAGGCACGAAAGCGUGGGUAGCAAACAGG
rnacentral:rRNA from 1 species